GUCGAGAAUAAUUCACAAUGGGGGAAACCCUGAUGGUGCAACGCCGCGUGGAGGAUGAAGGUCUUCGGAUUGUAAACUCCUGUCAUCCGGGAGCAAGACCUGGGCGUGAAUAGCGCACAGGUGUGAUAGUACCGGAAGAGGAAGGGACGGCUAACUUCGUGCCAGCAGCCGCGGUAAUACGAAGGUCCCAAGCGUUGUUCGGAAUCACUGGGCGUAAAGGGUGGGUAGGCGGCGUGGUAAGUCAGAUGUGAAAUCCCGGGGCUCAACCUCGGAACUGCAUCCGAUACUGCCAUGCUUGAGGGCUGGAGAGGUAACUGGAAUUCUCGGUGUAGCAGUGAAAUGCGUGGAUAUCGAGAGGAACACUCGUGGCGAAGGCGAGUUACUGGACAGCAUCUGACGCUGAGGCACGAAGGCCAGGGGAGCGAAAGGGAUUAGAAACCCGGGUAGUCC
rnacentral:rRNA from 1 species